AUGAAGAACGCAGCGAAAUGCGAUAAGUAAUGUGAAUUGCAGAAUUCAGUGAAUCAUCAAAUCUUUGAACGCACAUUGCGCCCGCCAGUAUUCUGGCGGGCAUGCCUGUUCGAGCGUCAUUACAACCCUCAGGCCCCCGGGCCUGGCGUUGGGGAUCGGCGGAAGCCCCGUGUGGGCACACGCCGUCCCUCAAAUACAGUGGCGGUCCCGCCGCAGCUUCCAUUGCGUAGUAGCUAACACCUCGCAACGGGAGAGCGGCGCGGCCAUGCCGUAAAACACCCAACUUCUGAAUGUUGACCUCGAAUCAGGUAGGAAUACCCGCUGAACUUAAGCAUAUCAAUAAGCGGAGGA
rnacentral:misc_RNA from 1 species